GCCGUCUUAGCUCAGUGGUAGAGCAGCUGUUUUGUAAACAGCAGGUCGUCGGUUCAAGCCCGACAGACGGCU
rnacentral:tRNA from 1 species